AUUGAACGCUGGCGGCAUGCCUUACACAUGCAAGUCGAACGGCAGCACGGGAGCUUGCUCCUGGUGGCGAGUGGCGAACGGGUGAGUAAUGCAUCGGAACGUGCCCUGAAGUGGGGGAUAACGUAGCGAAAGUUACGCUAAUACCGCAUAUUCUGUGAGCAGGAAAGCAGGGGAUCUUCGGACCUUGCGCUUUUGGAGCGGCCGAUGUCGGAUUAGCUAGUUGGUGGGGUAAAGGCCCACCAAGGCGACGAUCCGUAGCGGGUCUGAGAGGAUGAUCCGCCACACUGGAACUGAGACACGGUCCAGACUCCUACGGGAGGCAGCAGUGGGGAAUUUUGGACAAUGGGCGCAAGCCUGAUCCAGCCAUGCCG
rnacentral:rRNA from 1 species